rnacentral:SRP_RNA from 2 species
GCCGGGCGUGGUGGUGCAUGCCUAUAAUCCCAGCUACUCGGGAGGCUGAGGCAGGAGAAUCACUUGAGCCUGGGAGGCAGAGGUUGCUGUGAGCUGAGAUUGCACCACUGCACUCCAGCCUGGGCAACAGAGUGAGACUCUGUCUCAA